CACGUAGGGGGCGAGCGUUGUCCGGAUUUAUUGGGCGUAAAGAGCUCGUAGGCGGCUCAGUAAGUCGGGUGUGAAAACUCCAGGCUCAACCUGGAGACGCCACCUGAUACUGCUGUGGCUAGAGUCCGGUAGGGGAGCAUGGAAUUCCUGGUGUAGCGGUGAAAUGCGCAGAUAUCAGGAGGAACACCGGUGGCGAAGGCGGUUCUCUGGCAAUGUUCUGACGCUGAGGAGCGAAAGUGUGGGGAGCGAACAGG
rnacentral:rRNA from 1 species